rnacentral:piRNA from 1 species
AGCAUGUCUCUCACACACCGUGGUUGCUAA